rnacentral:rRNA from 1 species
GACGAACGCUGGCGGCGUGCUUAACACAUGCAGGUCGAACGGUAAGGCCCUUCGGGGUACACGAGUGGCGAACGGGUGAGUAACACGUGGGUGAUCUGCCCUGCACUUCGGGAUAAGCCUGGGAAACUGGGUCUAAUACCGGAUAGGACCAUUGCCUGCAUGGGUGGUGGUGGAAAGCUUUUGCGGUGUGGGAUGGGCCCGCGGCCUAUCAGCUUGUUGGGGGGGUGAUGGCCUACCAAGGGGACGACGGGUAGCCGGCCUGAGAGGGUGACCGGCCACACUGGGACUGGGAUACGGCCCAGACUCCUACGGGAGGCAGCAGUGGGGAAUAUUGCACAGUGGGCGCAAGCCUGAUGCAGCGACGCCGCGUGAGGGAUGACGGCCUUCGGGUUGUAAACCUCUUUCAGCACCGACGAAGCGCAAGUGACGGUAGGUGCAGAAGAAGGACCGGCCAACUACGUGCCAGCAGCCGCCGUAA